GCAGUGGGGGGUGGCAGUGGCCUCCUGACGGGCUCACACUCCUGUCCUGGGAGGGGCAGCCUGAUCUCACCUCCACCUAGUGCGUUGGUAACUGAGGACUUCUUGGCUUCUCUGGAGCCUGCAAACCUUCCCCCAUGUGUCCAGCUGAUCUUCCUACUACAAAGGGGACCGCUCACAGUAGCCUCAGCUUGGUGGUUUUGCAGGACAGCCAUCUAGGCCUGAGAUUUCUGCGUCUGGUGGAUGAAUAGCCUCAAAUGGAAGGAGUCCCACGGUAUGGGUCCGAGGUCCAGCUGUGGCCACCCAGCCAUCUGUGGCUUGCCCAGCCUCUGCAUCCCUGAUGUCUUCACUCCAGGGGCAGCCAGCAGCCCCUGGAAUCCCUUUCUCUGUAGUAACAGCAGCGAUAGCAGCUGGGGCUGACUGGCCUCUGCUAGUGGCCAGGCUUUGUGUUCUGUGCAUUUGUUCAGCUUCUCACUUGAUCCUCCCUAAGGCGAUGGGGAGGCCCCGAUAGCCCAGUUUUCCGGGUGAGGAAGUCAACAGGGAGGGUAGAUGGUGCCCAGGGUCCCACAGCUACUGAUGCCCUGAGCCAGGCUGAGCUUCCUGAAGUUCAGCCCGGAUCCCACAUUCAGACCUCUUGCUCUCAGAUAUGUGGGAUGAGCUCCUUUGUCCCAGUGCCGGCUCUGUCCUGAGGCCUCAUUGCUGGUCUGAGUGUGCUCUGCUGGGAAAAGCUUUGUGGGAGUUGCUUGGUUAACCACAGAAGAGAAAGGGCAUGUUUGGGGUGUUCCCCACAGCCCCCCUGUGCUGGUGGAAGCCUGGUUACUGUGUUUUCUAAUGUUCGUGUAUUUAAAGUGAUUUCUUUCUAAAGAUGUAACCUCCGCACCUUUCUCCUGAUUGGGUGACUCUUUUCUAAAGGUGAGAUGUCCAAGGUCAAGGCGCUGGCAGAUCCAGUGGCUGGAGAAGGCCUUCCUCCCAGGAAGGGGCAGACAAGCUCCCUGGGGCCUCUUUGACGUGCGCACUAAUCCCAUUCACCCUCGUGGCCUCACACUCCCAAAGGCCCCACCUGCAUGUGCCAUCACCUUGGAGGUUAGGCUUCAACAUCGGAAGCGUGGGAGGGAAUACAAGCAUUCAGUCAAUAGCUACCCGAUUGGGUUAGAGAGCUCAGAGCCUGAGAAUUCCCCUGUACUCUGGCUUGACUGCUGGCUGCCCCACCCGCCUCCACAGCCUCUGCCCCUGCAGGGAAACUAGAGCCAGGAC
rnacentral:lncRNA from 1 species